UGAAUUUAUUUUUGAGGUAGAUAAAAUAUGGCUACAAUGAGUGGCGAUAUUCCUGAGGAAUACCGAGAUGGGGUUAACCGAAUGGUUGAAAUCAUGCAUAGAGAAGUCGAGUAUCGUGACAAAGGGUUUAAGUGGACUAUGGACGAUUUUGAUAUCGGAGCACCAUUGGGGAGAGGAAAAUUCGGCAGAGUAUAUUUAGCUAGAGAAAAGAAAACCCACUACAUGGUGGCUCUCAAAAUGCUGCAUAAAUGUGAGUUAGUCAAAGGACGAGUAGAGAAACAAGUCAUGCGUGAGAUUGAAAUACAAUCACAUCUGAGGCAUCCUAAUAUACUCCAUUUGCUAACCUGGUUUUAUGAUGCUAAACGUAUCUAUUUAGUAUUAGAGUUUGCUGCAAAUGGAGAACUUUACCGGGAAAUGCAGCGUCAACCUGAAAAGAGAUUCAAUGAGCACUUAUCUGCCAAGUACACGUAUCAAGUAGCAGAUGCGCUGAACUACUGUCACAAAAACCAUGUCAUACAUAGGGAUAUUAAGCCUGAGAAUUUGUUACUUGACUUUCAAGGUGAUAUAAAAUUGGCAGAUUUUGGAUGGUCUGUUCACGCUCCUUCCUCAAAGCGCAACACUAUGUGCGGUACAUUGGAUUAUCUACCUCCGGAGAUGGUAGUAGGACAGACAUACGACAUAUACGUAGAUCACUGGUGUUUAGGAAUUCUGUGCUAUGAAUUUUUAGUUGGAAGGCCACCAUUUCUCAGUGACACGCAUGAAGAAACAUACAACAAAAUUAAGGGCUGCAUUAUACACUGGCCAUCUCAUGUUUCUUUAGGUGCACGAGAUCUUAUCUCAAAGCUGAUCAAAAGGAAGAGCUCUGACAGAAUUCCGCUACCUGCUGUGAUGAAGCACCCUUGGAUAGUUGAUAAAAAAAGCAAAAAGUAGUCAUUCCUGUAGAAUUAGCUAAUUUCCCUGAAGCCCAGCACAUAUACUGGUAUCAAAUUUACAGCAUAAUAACGUUACAUCAGACUGUAAUGAUGACUCACCGCUAUCUAAAUUAAAAUCCAUAUUUUUAUAUUCUUUUAUUAUUAUAUUUAAUGAUAAAGUUAGAAGCAUUUUGUUUGUCCUGCUAGCUAUACUUUCUACACUUCCGCGAUAUAUAGUAAUGGUAUCCUUACACAUGGGUAUAAAAAGUGUAGAAAGUAUAGCUAGCACGAACAAACCCAUUGAAAGUAGAAUAUAACUUUUAAGAUAUAAGUUGACAAAUUUAAUUUUAUAAAUACACGCUUACCUUAUUAUACCUUAAUGUCAAAAUUAACGUUCAGAAAAUGAGCGAAUUUAUUCGAGCGGAUAUUUUAUUAUUCAUGUCAGUCAUAUUCAAGCAGAUAUAGAGGUGCCUUCAUAAUAAGAUGAGUAAGGAAUUUUGGGGUAAAGUUUUUAAUGUA